rnacentral:rRNA from 1 species
GAUGAACGCUGGCGGCGUGCCUAAUACAUGCAAGUCGAGCGAACAGACGAGGAGCUUGCUCCUCUGACGUUAGCGGCGGACGGGUGAGUAACACGUGGAUAACCUACCUAUAAGACUGGGAUAACUUCGGGAAACCGGAGCUAAUACCGGAUAAUAUAUUGAACCUCAUGGUUCAAUAGUGAAAGACGGUUUUGCUGUCACUUAUAGAUGGAUCCGCGCCGCAUUAGCUAGUUGGUAAGGUAACGGCUUACCAAGGCAACGAUGCAUAGCCGACCUGAGAGGGUGAUCGGCCACACUGGAACUGAGACACGGUCCAGACUCCUACGGGAGGCAGCAGUAGGGAAUCUUCCGCAAUGGGCGAAAGCCUGACGGAGCAACGCCGCGUGAGUGAUGAAGGUCUUCGGAUCGUAAAACUCUGUUAUUAGGGAAGAACAAAUGUGUAAGUAACUAUGCACGUCUUGACGGUACCUAAUCAGAAAGCCACGGCUAACUACGUG